rnacentral:rRNA from 1 species
GUGGGGAAUAUUGCGCAAUGGGCGAAAGCCUGACGCAGCGACGCCGCGUGAGGGAUGAAGGUUUUCGGAUCGUAAACCUCUGUCAGAAGGGAAGAAACUACGUUGUGCUAAUCAGCAGCGUACUGACGGUACCUUCAAAGGAAGCACCGGCUAACUCCGUGCCAGCAGCCGCGGUAAUACGGAGGGUGCAAGCGUUAAUCGGAAUUACUGGGCGUAAAGCGCACGUAGGCUGUAGUGUAAGUCAGGGGUGAAAUCCCACGGCUCAACCGUGGAACUGCCUUUGAUACUGCACAACUUGAAUCCGGGAGAGGGUGGCGGAAUUCCAGGUGUAGGAGUGAAAUCCGUAGAUAUCCGGAGGAACACCGGUGGCGAAGGCGGCCACCUGGACAGGUACUGACGCUGAGGCGCGAAAGCGUGGGGAGCAAACAGGAUUAGAAACCCGUGUAGUCC